CUUCUUGGUGACUUCUAGAAUCUUCUCCAUGUUGGGUCUCUCGGGUUUUAGGGAGUCACAUGGAGGCACUGUGAUGGUCACCUGAUCAUUGGACUUCAGAAGAGGAAAACUCUGA